UUGAGAUAAUUAACUGUCUUAAAAGCAGCUGGAGAGUGCAAUGGUUGCAAACAGCAGCCUCCUUGGUAGUGUAUGUAGCCUAUUGUCUAUAUGAGUUACCUCAAGGGAACUUGGAAACAGUU
ensembl:snoRNA LOC120101230 small nucleolar RNA SNORA70